rnacentral:rRNA from 1 species
UACGUAGGGUGCGAGCGUUGUCCGGAAUUACUGGGCGUAAAGAGCUCGUAGGUGGUUUGUCGCGUUGUCCGUGAAAACUCACAGCUUAACUGUGGGCGUGCGGGCGAUACGGGCAGACUGGAGUACUGCAGGGGAGACUGGAAUUCCUGGUGUAGCGGUGGAAUGCGCAGAUAUCAGGAGGAACACCUGUGGUGUAGACAGCUUACUGGACGAUAACUGACGCUGAGGCACGAAAGCGUGGGUAGCAAACAGG